CUUUGCUGGAUGCCAUUAAUCUAUCUUGAAUUUCGCAUUUCCUGCUGUUCAUCUUGCCUUGAAAAGUUCCACUCCAAAGAAACAUUCUAUUCUCUCCCACUCUGCAUCAUAUCUGCUGUCUCCUUCACUGCCCUCUUCCCUCAAAGCACAGCAAGCUGGAUGUGUUCCUCACUGUGGCUUACUAUUUGGCAGAACAAACAAAUGAUCUCACACAGCAGGGAUGGAGUACAUGUAAAGUGGAAAUGAGGGAAUAACAAUACAUGAAAGAAUUGAGGACAUCUUGAAGAAGAAAAGCCUAUCUAAAUACGGUCUGAGCUGCAUUCAUGUUUACUAACAUUUCUGAAAGUACUGAUAAACAUUUGGUAGUCUGGAAAUUAUUGGUAUUGCACACUAGUACACAACAACUUGUUUCAAUCACUUCAAACGAGGUCAAGACAUGCCCUCUAGCUCCUCAAAAAGAAACGGAUGAAAGGCUCAAUAUGACUAUAUCUUAAUAAUAGUAUUUUAUCCUUGAGGUUAGAAAGGCCCAGGGAGUUCUCUUGUCCAGUCUCUU
ensembl:lncRNA